rnacentral:rRNA from 1 species
CAUUACCGAGUGAGGGCCCUCUGGGUCCAACCUCCCACCCGUGUUUAUUUUACCUCGAAGCUUCGGCGGGCCCGCCUUAACUGGCCGCCGGGGGGCUCACGCCCCCGGGCCCGCGCCCGCCGAAGACACCCUCGAACUCUGUCUGAAGAUUGUAGUCUGAGUGAAAAUAUAAAUUAUUUAAAACUUUCAACAACGGAUCUCUUGGUUCCGGCAUCGAUGAAGAACGCAGCGAAAUGCGAUACGUAAUGUGAAUUGCAAAUUCAGUGAAUCAUCGAGUCUUUGAACGCACAUUGCGCCCCCUGGUAUUCCGGGGGGCAUGCCUGUCCGAGCGUCAUUGCUGCCCUCAAGCCCGGCUUGUGUGUUGGGCCCCGUCCUCCGAUCCCGGGGGACGGGCCCGAAAGGCAGCGGCGGCACCGCGUCCGGUCCUCGAGCGUAUGGGGCUUUGUCACCCGCUCUGUAGGCCCGGCCGGCGCUUGCCGAUCAACCCAAAUUUUUAUCCAGGUUGACCUCGGAUCAGGUAGGGAUACCCGCUGAACUUAAGCAUAUCAA